ensembl:lncRNA
GUUGAAUGUUUUAUACACAGAUAUCAUAGUCAGAGUGGGGUUAUACUAAAAAGAUGCUGUUUUCCUGCAUCCUUGUAUCUAAAUAACAUCUUGUGGCAUUUUUGAAUGUAUAAGGGAUGAUUAUUUUUUGACUUAACCAAAUAUUUAUAUUCAUCGAGAUUUAUACAUAUAGUCAUACACAAUUUAUAAUAACUUGCAGUUAGAAUUACUAUGGUAGAAAACAAAUGUGAAAUUCUUCUGACCUCUAGUGGAGAUGAUAAGUAGUAAAUCAAAAGGGCCUCAAUAAGGAGUAAAGUGGUUCAAGAAUUCAAGCUUAAGACUGUCAGACUGGCAGCAAAAUGACCUGGAAAAAAGAGAGGCUAAUAGCCAAAGCAAAAGAUGCUAUCAUCAAGGGCAGAUUCUGUUCUCAUUCAGACACACCAACCCUCUAAACAGCUGAUAUGUGGAGUUGUUUCUUACAGUCAUGGUUGGAUUUCUGGACCAGUGUUGGAGGUGACAGUCAGACCAGGAGACAACAUCACUGUCCACUGUGACUGCAAAUUAUCAAGUGGAGUAUACAUAGUGUGGUACAGAAACUGCUCUCAUGAGAACCAGCCUUCUCUUGUCCUUAACAUUCGUUCAUUUGUGGGCCCAACUAAGAAUCUGAGAAUAUUCCAUCAUUUUCAGUUUGUGAGAAACGAUUCCUCUGCCUCCUAUGACCUGCUGAUCAUGAACAUCACUGAUUCAGAUGAGGGUCUCUACUACUGUGGAACUGAAAAGCAAAAAGUGGAGAAAACAGAAUACAGUACUCACAGAUAUGAUUACGGAUAUGGCAACGUCACAACCAGGAUCAUAUUAGACUCCAGCAGGCCUCAUCACACGGAGACUCCACAAGACUGUAGUGUGUGCUGGAUGCUUCUGUUCUCUCUGUGUCCAGCUUUUGCUGUUCUCUCCUCUCUCCUCUCCUCACUCUUGGUUUAUCACAUCUGUCAGAAAAAAGCUAAAGAACGUCAAGUUGAUCAACAAAAACCUGAAACUAGAGGUCAAACAAGACUGAAUCAGGAUGAAGAUGUGUGUUAUGCUGCACUGGAAAUCAGAAGACCAAAGAAGAAGAAAACACAGAUUUCUGACUCCACCACGUAUUCUGCCAUCAAUAGCCUGUAGGAUGUAAAGAGCCUAACAAUUUACACAAACAUGAAUUCAUUAGAGCUGAUGUUUCUGUAAUUUAGUUUCCCUUGCAAACCACAGCAACAACCAAUAACACUGAUGGUAUAUACAGUAUGAAAACAUGGCAUACAGUUAAGGUUGGUUUUUUUUUUAAAAAGCAGUGAUGUGUUUGAAAAGUUGAUCAUAAACUCUUUUGUCUUUGUUAAUUGAGAACAAAUAUACAUUUUACAGUAUUUAGUAGUUAAUGAAGCCACCAGUGUUACUAGUGGGAAGGAAGAUAAAGAGUGGCAAACGAAAACAAAGACAGGAUUUGAUUUGAGAGUGAUUUAGAUUUUGUGUGCAGGGGCAAAAAUAUAGACAGUGCAGUUGCCUGUGGGGGCCCAUAGAGAGAAGGGCCUCCAACAAUGUGUUAGGUGAAACUUCUGAAAUACGCCUGUGUUGAAAGAUCUAUAUAGGAAUAUAUAUAUAUAUAUAUAUAUAACUAUUCAAUUAAAUAAUUAAUAUUUUGUUAUUUUGAAACUGAAUGAGAAUUAAACUCAUCGCAAGAUUGCUACACUUUAAACUUAUUACUCAAAGAAGUUACAACCCAAUACAGAGUGACAAUGAAGUUACAGGAGCCGCAAGGUGUCGCCAUUGUGAUCAGGCCCACAGGAAACCCAUAUUGCAAAACAGCACAUCAUGCAGGCGGACUGAUGCAGCAGAUUAGUGGUGUUAUACUGUUUUUAUGCAUGCCUUCACUUUCGUUACUUGAGAAUUAUCUUAUGAUGCAGGGCUGGCAGUAUGGUGUGUGGACUGGUAGCUAGAGAGGUGCCAGUUCGACCUCCUGGCCACCUGCAAGGCCCCCUAACCCCAAUUUGUCCUUGCUCAUUCUGUUGUUUUAUUGGGUUCAUGUUCCUUAUUUUCAUUUUAUCUGCAUUGUUUGGUUUUGAUUAUUUAUUUUUUUGUACAGCACUUUGUAACAUUGUUAAGAAAAGUGCUAUAUAAAUAAAGUAUAGUAUGUUUCUCAGCAUCCCAUGAUUUAACUAACAGCAUAACUGAGAAUCUUCUAGACAUAUUGGUGACCAGUCAUCAAAAACAGCUUACUAGAAACAGUGGCAGAAUUGGGUGAAAGUCUCAUUUGCAUCACUGCUGACAUCAAUGAGGAAGGACCAGAAUAUCACCAUCUUGCUCGCUGAUAAAGGGAGAUGCACAGCUGUGCUGGGUGUGGCCAGAGGUCCAACUGAAACGUUCAACCAGAGAGGGUAGUAAAACACUGCUUUUCAGCCUGGAAUAUUAACUUACUCUAUAAACACCACCUACUUUAGAUAAAAUAAUGGUACAGACAGAAGCACAGCUCCUUCUAUGAGACAACAUGUAGUCAUUGGGUCAAAAAUAUAAGCUUGAGAAGUGCAAGCUUUUACAAACUUAUACAUGUAUGCAUAGACAGCAACAUCAAGUUUAAAUGGGAAGACAUCAGAGACAGAGACAAUAUAAGGGUUUAGACUGAGAAGUGCAAAUCAAAGAGGACAGAUGCCUUGAUACAGGUACUGAGGUGAAUGGACACCAAAGGAAAAAGCUUGUGGCUACCCAACUGUGCCUUUGUAAAAACAGCUACAGGAAGAAUAGGUGCAACAUAGGCCUUACAUACAUUUGAGAAACUCAGGAGGAACUUUAACAAACACAGCUUCCCUGCUUUUUUUUCAAACUUAGCACCACAAUGAGAUAAAAGGUUGUCCAGCGUCAAGACCAUAAACCCAAACAUAAGACAAGCAAAUUAAUAAACAAAGUCCAGUGCAGAGAGUAUUGCAGACCUGUGUAUUAGACAGUCAAUACUCAGUCUAGUUACAUCUAAAAUAUAAGAUUUUGAGACCAGAAAAGUAUUCAUACUUAUUGGACAGAGAAAGCAG